rnacentral:rRNA from 1 species
UCAGGACGAACGCUGGCGGCGUGCCUAACACAUGCAAGUCGAACGGGGAUUUGUUUCGGCAGAAUCCUAGUGGCGAACGGGUGAGUAACGCGUAGGCAACCUGCCCUCCGGCCGGGGGACAACACUCCGAAAGGGGUGCUAAUACCGGAUACGAAGUCUGUGCCGCAUGGUACGGAUUUGAAAGAUGGCCUCUAUUUAUAAGCUAUCGCCGGGGGAUGGGCCUGCGUCCGAUUAGCUGGUUGGUGGGGUAACGGCCUACCAAGGCGACGAUCGGUAGCCGGUCUGAGAGGAUGAACGGCCACAUUGGGACUGAGACACGGCCCAGACUCCUACGGGAGGCAGCAGUGGGGAAUCUUCCGCAAUGGGCGCAAGCCUGACGGAGCAACGCCGCGUGAGUGAGGAAGUUCUUCGGAACGUAAAGCUCUGUUGUUCCUGACGAACCUCCCUUCUAUGAACAACGGAGGGGACUGACGGUAGGGAACGAGGAAGCCACGGCUAACUACGUGCCAGCCGCUGC